rnacentral:tRNA from 2 species
CAGGACGUGGCUGAAUUAGUUAAGCGUCUCACUUACACCGAGAAGACGUCCAUGCAAGUUGGACCGCCCUGA